GAGAGAUGGGCCCAAGUGGCAUUAGGGUCUGGGGCCUGGGUGCUUGUGCGAUGCUGCCAGGAGCCUGGCCAACCUUGGCAGGGUCCACUUUGCCAACCUACCCUCAGAACUCCAGGUAUGUCUCUUCCAGGCCACCCCUCUGCCUCCUACCCUCGGCCAACUCUGGGUGGCAGGCCUAUGACUGCAAGACUGUGAGACAGUCUGUCCUCCAGAGCUGGGAGCUGGCACAACGUGAGGGCAAUGGCACCCCAAGACCUAACUUAGAGAUGAUAUCUGGGUGAGCCCUGCCGGCCCUCCCCACCCCUGCCUGCUCAGAGACAAAUGAAAAGAAGAAGAAGAAGAAGAAAAAAAAUACCAGGAGAGCUGAAAGGACAGACUAGACAGGGAAUGUGUUCUCAGCUCACACAACUUCCUCUUCACUUCAACCAGAGAAAAUUCUACCUCCAGUCAAACUCCCUGCUCACCCAGCCGGUCAGCUCCCUGCUCUGUGCCUGUGGAAGGGUGGGAGGGCUGGCCCCCAGGAGAGAGUCCAUUCCUUCUCCUGACCCUCUGGCCUUCUUAGUGAUUGAGGUGGAGGAGGGGUCAGGACACAGAAUAGAGAGGCCUGGCCAUGCCGGUCUCUGGCCCUGGUGGGGAGAGAUGCCAUACUGCUUAGUGGCCAGUGGGUAGGAGGACACCUUCCCAGCCAGCAAGGAAAGUCCACCAGGCCUCCCUGGAACAAGGCCCCCCAGGAAGUAGGCUGUGAUGUAAGAGAAACGGGAAGGUCACACCUAAUGAUGAACUAACUUCUGUGGGGCGAUCUCUGCCCUCUAAGCAAGCAAAGGCUUGAGAAAGGUAAGUUCUCAUGGGCAGCCCUUCUUCCUCCCCAACCCCUCCCUGCCUAUACCUUCUCCUGUCCCGCCUCCCCAUGGUUGGAAAAGGCUGGCUGUGCAGUGUUGGAAUGUGGAGCUAUUCCUAGGGGGAGACAGGGAAGUGAGGGAAGCUGAAUUGGCCAUGCUGAGCAAGACGUUUCACUACUCAAGCAAUAAUAGGGCUUUCAUGGAGAUGGCCAACCUUGGGUUCUGAAGCGAUUUUCCACCCACAACCCUCCUUCCUCCCGCCCUGAGUCGCCUUGCCUGAGAAUCCUCCUUUGUUGGGCUGAGCCCUGGGGGGAGAGGGGCCGGGCUUUGUGAAGGGGGCCCCCAGGCCAGGCUGACUGGGCUCCUGUUGUCUGGGUGGAGCACAUCUGGGCAGUGGAAGGGAACUAGGGCCAAGGCCAGGGCCAAGACAGCCAGCCCUUCCUUCCCAGAAAGCCCCGGGGCACAGGCCCUGCCUCUGCUUCUGGGUGCUGAGUUGCGUUUUGGGGCUGGCGUUUCCCACAUUUCUCUGUGGGAGGGUCCUUGAGAGGACACAGGGAUGAAAUGGUGACUCUGUCCAGCACCCUUGGACAGAGAAGCCUAUGCCGGAGCCACCUCUCACUACAGGAAUCCAACGCAUUCCCAGAGACCAAAUGAGGACACAGUCAAGAGUGGAGGAAUUAAGUUUUGCUGCUGCUUGCUGUGUUCCCAGCCAGGAGCCAGCCCCUGCCUUCAACGAACUGAAUGGCUGGGAGUAUGGGGAGUCCUACAAAGGUGAACUGUGGGAUGCUGUCAGGACUUACACGUGGGGAUUCUUUGUCCUCCACGAAAGGCACAGGAAAGGCCGAUCAAGCAGGUCCCAGGAGGCUUCCCUGGGGGAGCUGCAGGGACAACUGGGCCGGGCUGGCGCCCAGACAGCAGCGCCUGCUCAGACUCCGGGGAUGGGCAAGGCAGUGGUGAGGGCGGAGGUGGGGAGGCGGCUGCCGGCCCUGGACCUGGACUGCUCCCACUCCAAUGGAAGGUUCGCCCCCAUGUCUCCCUUUUAUCUUUUCAUUACAUACAAAUUAGGAGUGCGAUUAACUUUAUUAAAAGCAAACAAAGCUGGUCAGAGAAUGGGGCCUCCAGACAGAGCUGUGGGGGUUUGGGGAGGAGGAACCUGGGAGAGCAGGGGAGGGUUGUGGUUGCAGCAGUUAAAAGGGCAGGAGGUGAAGGGCUGGGGGAGGGGGCUUCCCUGCAGGAUUCUCCAUCCCCAGGGAUCCCACCACUUUUAUGGCCGUCUACAGCCUUCUGAAGUUAUGCCAGCUCGGCCCAGCCUCCAGACAGAAUUCCAGACUUUAAGAGCUAGAAGGAACCGUAGAGACCGUGGAGUCUACCGCUGCCCCCCACCCCCAGCUACAGAUGGGGAAACUGAGGCCCAGAGAGGUGAAGGAAUUAGCUGGAGCUCCACUGCCAAUAAAUUCAAUUUGUUUUGUCACACUUCAGUGGAGCUACUGACACAGACUAAUAUUUUGUGGACUCCAAAGUGGCCGUGUCCUGCUCCUUCAGCUUCCUCUUCUGUGGCUUUCAUCAUUCUGAGAGCUCCGGCCCCAACUGCUCUGGGGAGCCUUGAUCAGCAUCACGGCCACCACACUGAUGAAAUCCCCAGGCAUUCGGGUGCCACUUCAAGUUCUUGGAAAGAAUUUUCACAGGAUGUCAUUGUUUCCACCUGGAAACCAGAAAUUAAUCAAUCCAGAAAAUAUUUAUUGAAUGCUUUCUUGUGCCCAGCAAUGUGCUAAGUCCUGGGGAUUCAGUGAUAACAAGACGGAUGUGGUCUUUGACUUCCUGGAGCUCAUAGGGAAGAAACUGAGGUUCAGAGGGAACAUAGCAUGUCAUUGAUACUACUAAAAAUAGCAGCAACAUACAGAUGAGAGACGAUGCAUACACACCCUACACAUGCUUCUGCCCUGAGCCAUUUUCCACAAACCUGGAAGCCAUCCCAGGGCAGAGAUGGCAGUGACCUGCCCCCUUUUCUUCUACUCUGUUGCCUGGGAAGUAUCCCAGUGUCUCAAACCCAUCUCCAGUGGCCCCUGGUGCCUUCCAGGACUUCCAGAAAUGACAUCGAUAUCAUUGAUUACUCACCACUCAUCUUCAGACAGCUAAAAAUAAAGGUUGCUUUUCUUUUUU